rnacentral:rRNA from 1 species
UACGGAGGAUGCGAGCGUUAUCCGGAUUUAUUGGGUUUAAAGGGUGCGCAGGCGGGAAAUUAAGUCAGCGGUGAAAUCUGGUCGCUUAACGAUCACACUGCCGUUGAAACUGGUUUUCUUGAGUAUAGAUGAAGUAGGCGGAAUUCGUUGUGUAGCGGUGACAUGCUUAGAUAUAACGAGGAACUCCAAUUGCGUAGGCAGCUUACUAAGCUAUAACUGACGCUCAAGCACGAAAGCGUGGGGAUCAAACAGG